rnacentral:rRNA from 1 species
GGACCUAACAAAAUUCAACAAUACCGCCCCAUUUGCCUCCUCCGAUGCCGAUACAAACUGAUUACCAAAGUUUUGGAUAAUAGGGUUGCGAGGUUUACUGACAAGCUGAUUAGCAAACACCAAAAUGCUUUUAUCAAGCAUAGAAAUAUUAUGGAUGAAAUCCUCACGUUGCAUGAGGUAUUGCAUCACACUCAUCAGAAGAAGAAAUGUGGGAUUGUGUUGAAAUUAGACUUCGAAAAAGCAUACGAUAAGAUAAAUUGGGAUUUUCUUCUGGAAUGUCAUCGUAGUCGUGGUUUUGGGGCAACCUGGUGUGGAUGGAUCGAGAGGAUCCUACAUAAUGGCACGGUGAGCAUUAAGCUUAACAAUGAAACUGGUCCGUACUUUCAGAGUCACAAAGGGGUCCAACAAGGCGACCCCCACUCUCCCUUCCUUUUUAAUUUGGCU